rnacentral:lncRNA from 1 species
GGAUUCCCCCCCUGCUGUUCUCAUGGUAGUGAGUUCUCACGAGAUCUGGUUGUUUAAAACUGUGUAGCACCUCCCCCUUCACUCUCUCUCCUGUCACCAUGUGAAGGUGUGCUUGCUUCCCCUUCAUAUUUUGCCAUGAUUAUAAGUUUCCUGAGGCCUACCCAGCCAUGGCUCCUGUAUAGCCUGCAGAACUUUUCACUCUUGUUGCCCAGGCUACAGUGCAAUGGCACGGUCUUCGCUCACCACAACCUCCGCCUCCUGGGUUCAAGCGAUUCUCCUGCCUCAGCCUCCCGAGUAGCUGGGAUUACAGAUGUCAAUUAUCUAUUAUGCACCAGACACUGUACUGGAUGUGAGGGUCAUGGCUGCCCAUAGGCCAUGAGGUGACUGCGUGCAAAUUUGAAAAAGGCUCUCCAGAUGCACACCUCUGCACCAGGUUGCAUGAAUUGGAUCUCACUCUGGCUCGAGUGCAGUGGCGUGAUCUCAGUUCACUGCAACCUCCACCCCCCAGGCUCAAAUUGAGAGGUGACAGCGUGCUGGCAGUGCUCAUAGCCCUCACUUGCUUUCGGCGCCUCCUCUGCCUGGGCUCCCACUUUGGUGGCACUUGAGGAGCCCUUCGGCCUGCCGCUGCACUGUGGGAGCCCCUUUCUGGGCUGGCCAAGGCUGGAGCCAACUCCCUCAGCUUGCAGGGAGGUGUGGAGGGGGAGGCGCGAGCAGGAACCGGGGCUGCGUGAGGCGCUUGCGGGCCAGCUGGAGUUCCGGGUGGGCGUGGGCUUGGCGGGCCCUGCACUCGGAGCAUCUGGCCAGCCCUGCUGGCUCCGGGCAAUGAGGGACUUAGGACCCGGGCCAGUGGCUGUGGAGGGUGUACUGAGUCCCCCACCAGUGCCAGCCGACCGGCGCUGUGCUCGAUUUCUCACCGAGCCUUAGCUGCCUUCCCGCGGGGCAGGGCUUGGGACCUGCAGCCCGCCAUGCCUGAGCCUCCCACCCACUCCAAGGGCUCCUGUGUGGCCCGAGCCUCCCCGACAAGCACCACCCCCUGCUCCAUGGCGCCCAGUCCCAUCGACCACCCAAGGGCUGAGGAAUGCGAGCGCACGGCGUGGGACUGGCAGGCAGCUCCACCUGCAGCCCUGGUGCGGGAUCCACUAGGUGAAGCCAGCUGGGCUCCUGAGUCUGGUGGGGACGUGGAAAGUCUUUAUAUCUAGCUCAGGGAUUGUAAACACACCAAUCAGCACCCUGUGUCUAGCUCAAGGUUUGUGAGUGCACCAAUCGACACUCUGUAUCUAGCUGCUCUGGUGGGGCCUUGGAGAACCUUUAUGUCUAGCUCAGGGAUUGUAAAUACACCAGUCAGCACCCUGUGUUUAGCUCAAGGUUUGUGAGUGCACCAAUCGACACUCUGUAGCUAGCUGCUCUGGUGGGGAUGUGGAGAACCUUUAUGUCUAGCUCAGGGAUUGUAAAUACACCAAUGGGCACUCUGUAUCUAGCUCAAGGUUUGUAAACACACCAAUCAGCACCCUGUGUUUAGCUCAAGGUUUAUGAGUGCACCAAUCGACACUCUGUAUCUAGCUGCUCUGGUGGGGCCUUGGAGAACCUGUGUUUCCAAACUCUGUAUCUAACUAAUCUGAUGGGGAUGUGGAGAACCUUUGUAUCUAGCUCAGGGAUUGUAAACGCACCAAUCAGUGCCCUGACAAAACAGGCCACUGGGCUCUACCAAUCAGCAGGAUGUGGGUGGGGCCAGAUAAGAGAAUAAAAGCAGGCUGCCUGAGCCAGCAGUGGCAACCUACUCCAGUCCCCUUUCACACUGUGGAAGCUUUGUUUUCUUGCUCUUUGCAAUAAAUCUUGCUACUGUUCACUCUUUGGGUCCACGCUGCUUUUAUGAGCUGUAACACUCCCCGUGGAGAUCUGCAGCUUCACUCCUGAGCCCAGCAAGACCACAAGCCUACUGGGAGGAAUGAACAACUCCAGACGUGCUACCUUAAGAGCUGUAACACUCACUGUGAAGGUCUGCAGCUUCACUCCAGAGCCAGCGAGACCACAAACCCACCAGAAGGAAGAAACUCCAAACACAUCUGAACAUCAGAAGGGACAGACUCCAAACACGCCACCUUAAGAGCUGUAACACUCACUGCGAGGGUCUGCGGCUUCAUUGUUGGAGUCAGGGAGACCAAAAACCCACCAAUUCCGGACACAAAAUGAUCUUCUCACCUCAGCCUCCCAAGUAGCUGGUACCCAGGUGUGUGCCACUCAGAGGUGACAGCAUGCUGGCAGUCCUCACAGCCCUCAUUCGCUCUUGGUGCCUCCUCUGCCUGGGCUCCCACUGUGGCGGCACUUGAGGAGCCCUUGAGCCCACCACUGCCCUGUGGGAUCCCCUUUCUGGGCUGGCCAAGGCCAGAGCCGGCUCCCCAACGUGGAAGGAGGUGUGGAGGGAGAGGCACCAGUGGGAACCGGGGCUGCACGCAGCGUUUGCAGGCCAGCUGGAGUUCCGGGUGGGCGUGGGCUUGGCGGGCCCCGCACUCGGAGCAGACGGCUGGCCCGGCCGGCCCCGGGCAAUGAGGGGCUUAGCACCUGGGCCAGCGGCUGGGGAGGGUGUACUGGGGCCCCCAGCAGUGCCAGCCCACUGGCGCUGCGCUCAAUUUCUCACCAGGGCUGAGCUGCCUUCCCGUGGGGCAGGGCUUGGGACCUGCAGCCCGCCGUGCCUGAGCCUCCCACCCCCUCCGUGGGCUCCUGUGCAGCCCGAGCCUCCCCGAUGAGUGCUGUCCCCUGCUCUACUGCGGCCAGUCCCAUUGACCACCCAAGGGCUGAGGAGUGCGGGCGCAUGGCGCAGGACUGGCAUGCAGCUGCACCUGCAGUCCCGGUGCAGAAUCCAGUGGGUGAAGCCAGCUGGGUUUCUGAGUCUGGUGGGGACGUGGAGAACCUUUAUGUCUAGCUAAGAAAUUGUAAAUACACCAAUCGGCACUCUGUAUCCAGCUUAAGGUUUGUAAACACACCAAUCAGCACCCUGUGUCUAGCUCAGGGUUUGUGACUGCACCCAUCAACACUCUGUAUCUAGCUACUCUGGUGGGGCCUUGGAGAACCUUUAUGUCUAGCUCAAGGUUUGUAAACACACCAAUCAGCACCCUGUGUCUAGCUCAGGGUUUGUGAAUGCACCAAUCGACACUCUGUAUCUAGCUACUCUGGUGGGGACUUGGAGAAUCUCUGUGUCCACACUUUGUAUCUAGCUAAUCUGGUGGGGACGUGGAGAACCUUUGUGUCUAGCUCAGGGAUUGUAAACGCACCAAUCAGUGCCCUGUCAAAACAGACCACUCGGCUCUACCAAUCAGCAGGAUGUGGGUGGGGCAGAUAAGAGAAUAAAAGCAGGCUGCCCGAGCCAGCAGUGGCAACCCGCUCGGGUCCCCUUCCACACUGUGGAAGCUUUGUUCUUUCGCUCUUUGCGAUAAAUCCUGCUGCUGCUCACUCUUUUGGUCCACACUGCCUUUAUGAGCUGUAACACUCACCACGAAGGUCUGCAGCUUCACUCCUGCCUGAGCCAGCAAGACCACGAACCCACCAGAAGGAAGAAACUCCGAACACAUCCGAACAUCAGAAGGAACAAACUCCAGACGCGCCACCUUAAGAGCUGUAAUAGUCACCGCGAGGGUCCGCGGCUUCGUUCUUGAAGUCAGUGAGACCAAGAACCCACCAAUUCCGGACACACCACCACUCCCGGCUAUUUUUGUGUGUGGGUAUUUUUAGUAGAGGCAGGGUUUUGCCAUGCUGCCCAGGUUGGUCUUGAACUCCUGACUCAAGCAAUCCACCCAUGUCAGCCUCCCAAAGUGUUGGGAUUACAGGAGUGAGCCACUGCGCCCAGCCUCUUUUAAUAUCUGUAUAGUUUCAUGUAUUACACUUGGAUCCUUGAUCCAUUUAGAGUUAAUUCCUGUGUGUGGUGUACAGAUUGGACCUCAUUUUAUAUUUUUCCAGAUAACUAGUCAGUAUACCCAGCACCUUUUACAAAUCUUUGUCCCAGUAACAUAUAUUUAUUCUUUAAAAAUUCUGGUGAUAAAUACAAGUUUAAGGAAGAAAAAAAUCACAAACAAAUCCUACCCAGAGAUAACCGCAAAUUAUGUUUUGGUAGACUGCUCUGGUUUAAAUAUUUGACCCCUCUGAAACUCAUGUUGAAACGUACUCCCCAAUGUAACAGUAUUAAGAGGUGAGGCUUUUAAGAGGUUAUUGGGUCAUGAGGGCUGUGCCCUCAUUAAUGGAUUAAUCCAUUCAUGGAUUCAUGGGUAAUCAUGGGACUGGGUCUGUUAUAAAAGCCAGUUUGGCAAGUUCUUGUCCUCUCACCAUGUGAUGCCCUCUGCCAUAUUAUGAUGCUGUAAGAAGUCCCUUACCAGAAGUGGUCCCUCAACCUUGGACAACCAGCCUCCAGAACUGUAAGAAAUAAAUUUCUUUUCUUUGUAAAUUACCCAGUCUCGGGUACUCAGUUAUAGCAACAGGAAACAGAUUAAGACAAUGACCAUACUUCCCUACCUUUCCCUAUUCAUACGCGUGCGUGCACACACACACACACUUUUACAAAGAUGGGAUCUCAUACAUGCUGUUUUUAUCACGGGCAUGUUUAUUCACACUUUUUUUUUUUUGCCCCAUCCCUAAACAUAAUUAACAGCCUGUUAUGUGACUUUUAGCACCUUUAGUCAUGUCCAGUUAUUCAUAUACAAACCUAUUCAUACAUGCAUAGGCUGUUCUUGUUGUUUGCUUUACAAAUAACAAAACGGGUUCAUACUGUAUAUGCUUCUCAGCAUUGUAUCCUUGCUGCUUAAUGAAACUUUGAGGAAUUCCUCUAAGUCUGCUGGUAUAGACUUAAUUCCUCCUUUUUUGUUUUUGUUGUUGUUUUUUAGAGACAGGAUCUUGCUCUGUUGAACAGGCUGGAGUGCAGUAGUGCAAUCAUAGCCUACUGUAGCUUUGAAGUCCUGGGUUCAAGCAAUUCUCCUAUUUCAGCCUCCUAAGUAGCUGGGACUAAAGGUGUAUGCCACCACACCUAGAUAAUUUUUUUUUACUUUUUAUUUGUAGAGAUGGGGUCUUACUGUAUUGCCCAGACUGGUCUUGAACUCCUGGCCUUAAGAGAUCCUCCCACCUCGGCCUCCCAAAGUACUGGGAUUAUAGGCAUGAGCCCAUACCCAGCCCUAAUUCUUCCUUUUUUAAUGGCUAAUAGUCAAUAUUAUUGAUGUAUUAUUAAAUACUGAUGGGCAUUAACUGUUUUCCUUUGCCACUGCAAACUGAGCUAUCACUAACAUCCUUGUACACAUAUCCUUUUAUAGUAGUGUUCUCAUUUCUGUGGUACUUUUCAACUUAAACUCGUCUAUAUUGUGAAUUUUUAUCAUGAGCAACUAUUAAUUUUAUUUUAAAAAGCAAAAUCUAUCACUGUAUAGAGCUUGAGUUUACAAUCAGAUGCAUCUGAAUUCAAAUCCUCUAAAACUCAGACACUGCUGGUGGGAGUGUGAAAUAAUGCAUCCACUUUGGAAAACCAUUUGGCAUGAUUUACUAAACUUGAGCAUACAUAUACACUGUGAGCCAGCAAAUUUACUUCUAAGCAUAUCCAACACAAAUACAUGCACAUGUAUAACUCAGAGAAGUGUCCAAAGAUAUUCUUAUCACUUCUAUUUGUAAUAGCUCAGAACAGAAUAUUCCAAAUGUCUGACAAUAGUAAAAAUCAAUAGAUUGUAGUAUAUUCUGACAAUAUAAUGCUGCAUAGCACCUUUUCUCAAAAAUGUGAUCUGUGGAUCUCUGAGGAGUCCCCAAAACCUUUACAAGGGGUCCUCAAGGUCAAAAUCAUUUUCAUAACACUAAAAGGAUAUUUGCCUUCUUCAUUGCAUUGACACAUUGACAUUUGUACUGAUGGUGCAAAAGCAAAGAUAUAUAUAUUGCCAGCACCUCAGCACAAAUCAAGGCAGUGGUACCAACUGUACUGGUAUUCAUGGCAUUCUUCACCCUACACACUCAGUAAACAAAGUCCUUGAUGAAGAAGUAAAAAUCAAUUCUAUCAAAUCUAAUCAUUGGGUACAUUGUCCAUAUGAUGAGCUAGGAAGCAUGCAUAAGGCACAUCUGUUACACACCAAUGUAUAAUGGUUGUCUUGAGGAAAAGUACUUGUUAGAGUUGUGAGCUGAACUAGACAAUUUUGUCAUGGAACCCUAUUUUUACUUGAAAGAAUGGCUAACAGACGAACUACAGUUAUUCAGAUUUAGGCUUUUGGCAGACAUUUCCUGGAAAAUGAACAAAGUGAGUCUGUCACUUAACUAGCAGUAUAUGCUACCAAUGAUAAUAUUGGAGCUUUCUCCAGGCACAGUUCCUCACGCCUGUAAUCCCAGCACUUCGGGAGGCUGAUGUGGGAGGAUUGCUUGAGCCCAGGAGUUCAAGACCAGCCCCAGUAAUGCGGUGAGAGCCCAUCUCUAAAAAAUACAUAAAUGAAUAAAAUAUAUGGGAGCUUUCAAGUAAAAAAGAGAAUUUUAGAAAAUCUGUAUGAGCUUGACAGCGUCCCCAUGCUUAAAGACUGUCCUGAUGAGGUCUGUGGUAAUAGUAACAAAUGUGAUUUUUUAAAUAAUAUAUGGCAAAAUCUGUUAAUAUUUGGAAGGUCUGCCUGCAUACCUCAGUAAAACAAUAUUUUCCAAAAGCAUAUUGUUACAAAAUUAAGCAUGGGUAAAAGAUUAAUUCAAAGUACGAGAUAAAUUAAUGGAUUUUUAAAGCAACUAUAUUAAGGAAUAAUUGACAUACAAUAAACUGCACAUAUUUAAAGUGUAUGAUUUGAUAAGUUUUGAUAGACGUGGAUACCCGUGAAACCAGCAUCAUAACAAAGAUGAUGAGCAUACCUAAAAACCCAAAAAUUAGUUCAUGCUCCUUUGUAUUCUCUCACUUGCACACUUCUUUCUCUUCUCCAAACCAUCCCCAGGCAAACCCUGGUCUGUUUCCUGUCCCAAUAGAUUAUUUGCAUUUUCUACAAUUUUAUAACAAUGGAAUCAUAUAGGCCAGGUGCGGUGGCUCACGCCUGUAAUCCCAGCACUUUGGGAGGCCGAGGCGGGCGGAUCACGAGGUCAGGAGAUUGAGACCAUCCUGGCUAGCACAGUGAAACCCUGUCUCUACUAAAAAAUACAAAAAAUUAGCCAGGCAUGGUGGCAGGCGCCUGUGGUCCCAGCUGCUCAGGAGGCUGAGGCAGGAGAAUGGCCUGAACCCAGGAGGCAGAGCUUGCAGUGAGCUGACAUCACACCACUGCACUCCAGCCUGAGCAACACAGUGAGACGCUGUCUCAAAAAAAAAAAUGGAAUCAUAUAGUAUGUGCUCUUUUUGUCUAGCUUCUUUUACUCAGUAUAAUCAUUUUAAGAUUUAUCCACAUUGUUGCAUGUAGUAUUUCACUGCAUGGAUACACCACAAUUUAUGCAUUCACCUACUGAUGGGUAUUUGGUUUGUUUCUAGUUGUUGGCUAUUAUAAAUAAAGAUGCCUUGAACAUUCAUGUACAAGUCUCUGAAUGUACAUAGGCUUUCAUUUCUCUUCAGUAAAUACCUAAGAGUAGAAUGGCUGUGUCAUAUGGCAGGUGUAUGUUUAACAUUUUUAGAAACUGCCAAAAUGAUUUCCAAAUGGGUUGUGCCAUUUUGCAGUCCCACCAGCAGUGAAUGAGAGUUCCAGUUGCUCCACAUCCUCAUCAACACUUGGUAUGGUCAGUUAAAUUACUUGGAAACAGUUUGAUUCUUCUGGGUUUGCUUUUGUGGUUGGUUAGGUGGGUCUGCAACAGCACUUAGUCUUGGCUAGUUAUUUCCCAUUACUUAGGCAAGACCUCCUGACUACUCAAUGUCCCAUGAAUUAUGAGUUUCUCCAGUCUGCCUGGAGGGAAGAAGCACUAUUUCUGGCCCUAUGUGAGCACAAGGCACAGUUCCCUCUAAUCAUGUCAGAUGGUUAUUUGCCACCCUUGAGUAGUUUUCUCACACAUACAUGCUGAUCAGUACUCUGCUGAAUACUCUAGGUCUUUCUUAGAGUAGCUCUUUCCUCUCUGGUGUUCUGUCCUAUGAGCUCUCCUUUCUUGGUCUCCCUUGACCUUCAGUUCUGUCUCCUUAAUUCAAGGAGGUCCACCAGGCUCUACUUCAGUACCCUUCCCUAUGUCACUUUCUGAAAUUUUCUCAAGGAAACAGACUAAGGUUAUCAUAGGGCUCCCCUUGUUUGUUCCCAUCUCUCUGGGAUUACUGUCCUUCAUUGCCUAACGUUCAAUGUCUUAAAACCCAUUGUUUCAUGCAGGAGGGUAUACCUGGGUUCUGUUACUCUAUCUUGGCCAUGAAACCUAAGUCUCCCAUUCUUUUUUCAGUCCAGGAAACUGAGGCCCAGAACAACAAAUUGGCUUGCCCAAGUUUUUACCAGUUAAUGAAGAAGCCACAGCUAGAAACCAACACCUCCUGACCUCUAAUCUGAAGUCGAGACAGGGCUUUUUCUUAUCUUUCCAGCUUCAGAGAUGGCUUGACAACAGAAGGUUAAUUAAUCAGCCACAGACAAAGUAAAUAUGCAUGACCUAUGGUCUCUGAAAGGUACAGACUAGCCUGCCCACCCAUCCUUGAUCAAUCAGCAAAUAUUUAUUGUGCACCAACGUGGAAUGCCCCAUAUGAGACAUUGCUGGGGACAGAAAAUGAUGCGCCACUAUCUCUGUGGACAAGGGCUCAAGUCUAGAUGGGAGAAAGCCUGCAUGUGAAACAUGUCCAUCUUUACAUUCUCAUAUACUGUGUCACUCAACUCCCCAGCCAAAAGAAUCAAGAGGCAUCACAAUUUGUGGGCUUUUCUCAGGAAAGGCUUCCCAGAGAAGGGAGGACUUGGAAUCAGAAUAUGUGAUAUGCCCUUACUGAGGAGGAUGGUAAAGGCAGGACAUUAUCUCCCUAUGGCUCUUGUUAAAAAUAUACUCAUAACUUCAGAGGGUCUUUGGCUAUGUGAAAAGCCUAAGCUUUGGGAUAAGGGAAGAAGGUGAUAUUGUCCUUAACCAGAGGGCAGACUAAGGGAUUUGAUGGAAAUCCUGUGGUGAGGAAGACGCCUCAUGGGCCGCCCCCGUCUCCUACUGCAGUGCUAUGACCAGGGCUGCCUCUACGCUUUCUUAGCAAAAACAAAUACUCCCAAGUAGAUUUUUUAAAAUGUGAGAACAGACUAUUCCUGCAUUCUUUAUCUUUUUCCUGUCUCUUUCCAUCCAUUCUUGCUUCAUAACUUUUAACAGGACCAUUGCUCUUCACUUUAGAGGAGAUAACAUGUUACUAUGUGUGUG